rnacentral:lncRNA from 1 species
GGAGUUUUACGCUAUAUAUGAAAUUUAAGAGGGGGGAGGGGGAUUAAUUAAAAAAAAUUUCUAUGUCGAUUGAUCAGUCAUGAAAGUCAAAUCACUUGUAGGUUAGUAUAAUGAAUAAACCAGAGUAAAAUAAAAUGAGUAAAUAAGCAAAAAAAGAACACAAAGAUUUAUUCUGGUUCAAAUCACCGGUGUAGUGCCUACUCCUGUCCCCUUGGAUCACACGGGUUUCCUUUAGAUCUUUCAAAGUGAGAAUUGAAUUACAGAUGGGAUGGAUAAUUUUUGAAUCUUAUUUUAUUAUUCAGAUCUUAUGGUACAACCUCAACAAGUAUAACUAACUUUACUCGAUCUUUCUCUUUGUAACUAUUUUAAAAUGAAAAUUACAAAGCUUCAUUGAGACUAAAAAUUGAGACAUACUAAGAGUUUCCUGUGAAGUUGCGUGAUGUAUUUGAUCUUCAAUUUUAUAUUCUUCAGCUGAUCCGGAUUCUUUUCUCUAUAAGAAAAACCCAAGAGAUUUCUUCCCAAUCAGAGAUUUGAAUUGAUUCCUUGAUUGAUGAUUCAUAUCAUAAAGUAUGUCCAUAUCAGAUAUGUCCAAUACAUAUGAUGUAACCUUUCUUUCUCGGAUAUAGACUCAUAACCAUACAUGUGCAUAUCAGAUAUGUCCAUGUAGAAGGUGUGAUCUUCCUUUCUUCUAUCGUUCCUUGUGAAAUUUUCCUUCCAUGUUGUUUUUCAAUUGUCCAUUAUCUUUCUUUCAAUUUCGGAUCUAAUGAGAUCCUUUCCUGAUUCUAUUUUAAAUCUAGCUUUGAUUUCUUUACAAUAUGGGAUCACGUGAGAUGCUCCUCUAUGUUUAGCUUUGGGAUGAUCUUCCUUGCGUUGAUUACAUCUUUAGUAUAUCAUGCAUGUUUUUCGUUAUUAAUAUAUCAUUAUUAAAACAUAUUAUGUCAACACAGGAGGAUAACAAUAUCCCCUUUUUAAUAAUGAUGAAUAAUAAACAUCAUUUAACUUCCCUGUUCCUAUAGUCGACUGGCUCCCCCUUUGUUGCUGACUCCUUUUCCUUUGUCGCGCUUAAUUUUUCUCGAAAAAAGCAA